AACGAACGCUGGCGGCAUGCCUAACACAUGCAAGUCGAACGAGACCUUCGGGUCUAGUGGCGCACGGGUGCGUAACGCGUGGGAACCUGCCCUUAGGUUCGGAAUAACUCCCCGAAAGGGGUGCUAAUACCGGUUAAUGUCUUCGGACCAAAGAUUUAUCGCCUUUGGAUGGGCCCGCGUUGGAUUAGCUAGUUGGUAGGGUAAAAGCCUACCAAGGCGACGAUCCAUAGCUGGUCUGAGAGGAUGAUCAGCCACACUGGGACUGAGACACGGCCCAGACUCCUACGGGAGGCAGCAGUGGGGAAUUUUGGACAAUGGGCGAAAGCCUGAUCCAGCAAUGCCGCGUGAGUGAUGAAGGCCUUAGGGUUGUAAAGCUCUUUUACCCGGGAUGAUAAUGACAGUACCGGGAGAAUAAGCUCCGGCUAACUCCGUG
rnacentral:rRNA from 1 species